UACGUAGGCAGCAAGCGUUUGUUCGGAGUUACUGGGCGUAAAGGGUGUGUAGGCGGUUGUUUAAGUUUGGUGUGAAAUCUCCCGGCUCAACCGGGAGGGUGCGCCGAAUACUGAGUGACUAGAGUGCGGGAGAGGAAAGUGGAAUUCCUGGUGUAGCGGUGAAAUGCGUAGAUAUCAGGAGGAACACCGGUGGUGUAGACGGCUUUCUGGACCGUAACUGACGCUGAGACACGAAAGCGUGGGUAGCAAACAGG
rnacentral:rRNA from 1 species